rnacentral:rRNA from 1 species
CCUACGGGAGGCAGCAGUGAGGAAUAUUGGUCAAUGGGCGCGAGCCUGAACCAGCCAAGUCGCGUGAAGGAUGACUGCCCUACGGGUUGUAAACUUCUUUUAUAAAGGAAUAAAGUGAGGCACGUGUGCCUUUUUGUAUGUAUUUUAUGAAUAAGCAUCGGCUAACUCCGUGCCAGCAGCCGCGGUAAUACGGAGGAUCCGAGCGUUAUCCGGAUUUAUUGGGUUUAAAGGGGGCGUAGAUGGGUUGUUAAGUCAGUGGUGAAAGUUUGCGGCUCAACCGUCAAAUUGCAAUUGAAACUGGCAGACUUGAGUUCAGUUGAGGUAGGCGGAAUGCGUGGUGUAGCAGUGAAAUGCUUAGAUAUCACGAAGAACUCCGAUUGCGAAGGCAGCCUAC